rnacentral:misc_RNA from 1 species
GAAAUGCGAUACUUGGUGUGAAUUGCAGAAUCCCGCGAACCAUCGAGUCUUUGAACGCAAGUUACGCCCGAAGCCAUUACGUUAAGGGCACGUCUGCCUCGGUGCCUCACGUUGCGUCACCCACGCCCCCUCCCUCCGAAGGGGGGAAGAAGGGCUACGAGUGGAUGUUGGCCCCCCGCGCGCUUCCAUACGGUCAGCCCAAAAAUGAGUCCCUCGCGACGGACAACGCGUCGCGACGAGUGGUGGUUAACAAACUGUUACGUCGCCUGGCGCGCGUCCGAGCCAUCUCAGGAGGCCCUGUCGUGACCCUAUCGCGCCGCCACCAAGGUCAGGCGCUCCGAUGGCGACCCCAGGUCAGGCGGGAUUACCCGUUGAGUUUAA